rnacentral:lncRNA from 1 species
AGCUUAAAAAUUAAAACAAAAUCAGCUCAUUUUCUCUUCAUAUGGCCGGCCAUAGUAAGAACAAAGAGAGGAAAGGAAGAACACAAAACCUAGGUGGGAAAAUUGAAGAAAAAGUGUGGGAUUUCAAGGAAUCAAGCAAUCAAAGGUAAAAUUUCUUGAUUUUGACUUGUGAUCUACCUUUCCCAUGCAUUUCUCCUUAUUUUCCAUGGUUAAAUUUCAUGUUUUCAUGGUGAAUUCAUGGCUGACUGAAUGGGUAUAGAGAGAGAAUGAAGUUGGAUUGAUUUGAUUCUAAGUUAUGUUAGUGUUUUUAAUUAGUUUAUCAUGCCUAGAAACAAAACAACAAGAAAAGAAUUCAUUUUCCCCAUCACCCAUCAAUGGUCAAAUUUUCUAGGGAGAAUAUUGUGGCUAAAUUUGAUGAUAUUUCAUGAUAUUUUGGUGAUAUUUGAUGUUUGGUGAGGCUAGAAAUUAAAUGGGAAAUUUUGGUGUGAAAAUCUGAAUUUUUGCUCAACGUAUAGACAUGUGUAAUUAUUGACUCAGGACUGAUAAAUUGAACCUCAUUCACAGUCACUGAGGUAAGUUAGGUAUAAUUGGAGUGUAGAAAGUGAGAAGAAUUGAUUUGGAGUUAAAUUAGAGAUUUUAGCUGAUUAGACCGUGUAAAGCCCGACCUUAUAAAAUACUAGUCAUGACAUACAUGUGAUGAUAGCAUGAUUACAUGCUAGGAGAGUCCUGAAAAAUUUACAAAAGUCGGUAUUGUACCUAGAGGUACAACAAAGUUGAUUUAAUCCUCGAACUAGAUCAAAUAGGAAUUUUAAGGUGAGAUUAAGAUCGUCACAAACCAAGGAUGACUCAAAAUGGUAAUUUGGAGUUUGACGAUCAAUUUGGAGUUGAAUCGGAAUUUUCACUAUCCAGGGGUAAAAUGGUCAUUUGCCAUAUGGGGACAAAAUGGUCAUUUUUAGAAAAGAUUUAUUUGGCCCCAUUUGACUUAUUGGAGUAUGAUUUGAGGUUUAGAAGUGAAAAAAUUUUGAUUUCAGUAUAAUUUGGAGUAUAGGGGUAAAAUGGUAAUUUUACCGUUCUAGGGGCAAAAUUGUAAUUUUCCACCACUAGGACAAUUUUCCAGCAUAUGGUCUUCCUUUAUCCUCAUUUUUGACCAUUGACUACUCAUGUGGUGGAGAUAAAAUGUUUAAAUUUUUAAAAUUUUAAAAAUGGACCAAUAAGAAAAUGCCAUGUGUCAAGCUUAGGAUAAUUUAUUAUUUAACUUAAAAAUCAGCAUAAAUCAGCCCAUUACUCUCCAAAUAUUCGGCCAAGCAAGGAAGAGAGGGAAAGAAAGGAAGAACAAACCCUAGGUGAGGAAUUUCAAGAGAAAAAGUGUGGAAAAUCAAGGAAAACAAGUGAAAAAGGUAGGAUUUUUCAACUUAAGCUUGAAAUCUAUUUUCCUUAAGCAUUUCUCCUUAUUUUCCAUGCUUAAAUUACAUGUUUUCAUGAUGAAUUGUUGGCUGAUCAAAAUGGGUUAGGAGAGAGAAAGUUGUUGGAUUGAUUUGAUUUUAAGUUAUGUUAGUGUUUUUAGUUAGUUUAGCAUAUUUAGAAACAAACCAACAAGAAAAGAAUUUAUUUUCUCCCACAACCAUUAAUGGCUGAAUUUACCAUGUAUUCAGUGAGGAUGAGUUUGAUUUUUAUUCUAGGUGAAUUGGUUAAGAAAUGAUGAAUUAUGGUGUAGAAAAGUAGUAGGAAAAAUCAUGGUGUUAAUGCACCAUUAUUGGUCGAAAAUUUUAAGAAGAAAAGUGAAGAUAGUUUUGCCAAAUUUUAGGUUAUUUGAUUUGAAUUUGGUGAAUUAAGAUAUUGGAAAAGAAUUGGAACAAUUUGGAGUAAUUUGGGAUUAAAUUGGACGCGUUAGUAAUUUAAUCGGGUGAUAAGAUGAAUUAGGCCAAUACCGGGUUUAGAUAGUUACUAGUGCAUUUGUGCAUUCCAUAUCAUGCAUUAGUAGUCUAAAUUAGUUUAAUUUCAAUUUAGUACCAAUGUAGUGAGUUUCUCGAUUUUGUACUACGUCAAGGUGGUGAGUCCUCCGAUAAAGGUAAGGGAAUUGCAUCCGAGGACCAGUAGUCUGAGUAUUUCGAGAAUCGGCACUCUAGAUAGUGUGAGUAAACUUACUGUCAUUUUAAUUAUCUAGGGUGAUUUUUAGAUGAUUUCAUUAAUUUUAUGGAAAAAUGGAUUUAAAAAGGUAAAUUUUCAUGUUUUAUGAAUAAAGGUGUUCCAAUGAAAUUAAAUUAUAAAUUGUUUUGAAAUUAAUAGUGAUUUUGAAAAAUAGAGUACACGGAGACUGUUAAUUGUGGCAAUUUGAUUGUUUAAAUUGAUUGGCUUAUGAUAAAUCGGGCAUGAUUAGCUAAUUGGCAAUUGUAUUGAAAUACGAAUUGUUUGGUUGCCUUGAAAGACUGCGAAUUACAAAAUUACCAUAUCAUGUUAUUGACUUUUAUUAUAUGGUGGAUUAUAUAUAUUAAUUAAUCACUACAGUAGGGGGUUUUUGUGGACCAGGCUUUUAGAGGGGCACGGUAAACCCCAUUAUAUUCUUACCUUGAACGGAGAGGCGCGUAGGGUAUCUCCUAGGGUAAAGCUUAGGGUUCACUUCACGCCAAACCACCACGUGAGGGGGAAUUCAGCCAACGUCAAGGAAUGGCUAUGUUUUCAAAACAAAAACAUGAUUUAUGUGAAAUGUGAAUUUUAAUAGCCUUGGCGGUCUAGGUGGGAUGCCUCGGCCAAGAUGUCCCUGAAAAUGGAUUUAUGGCAUAAGCCUAGUUUUUAUGAGAUUCAUAAGCCUCUUUACUUAUUUUGAACAAAAUGUGUUCUAAUGCUAUAACCCAGUUUAUGAUGAUUUACUUUAUUGUCUCCAUGUACUCAACUCUAGAUGUUUAUGAUGAUGUCUGUUUACUCAUUGGGAUUUUAUAAUCUCACCACCCUCCUUUCCAUCCAUUUCAAGUUCAGUAUAGACUGUAGAUAGCUGAUCUCAUCGAGGACUACCGUUGGAUCUGCAUUUUUCCAAACCGUAGGUUCACAAUCCUCUUUACUUUUGUUUAUUCGGGGGCCCUCUUGUUAUUGUAAAUUAAAUUAAAUAUUUUGGCUUAUUGUAUUAUAGUAUGUAUAAAUUUAUUUAGCUUUUACGCUAUAAAAAUUAUUCAUGUAUAACUCUAUAAAUAUUGUUUUAUAAGAAAAUAGAAUAUUUUACUUAAUAUUUCUUUUAUUUUCUUAUUAUAUUCAAAUAACCAUAAUUUCAUUUUAAAUGAAGAUUUUAGACUUUUAAACUCAUUUUGAAUAUGAAUUAUGUGUUUUGUACUUGUAUAUUAUAUUUUAGCCAAUUUCAAAAUUUUUGAGAAAAAUGACCAAAAUACCCCUGUGAGACAAAAAAAUUAAUAUUUUUUUUGUUUUAAGUUGGAAAUAGCUUAAAAUCUUUUAGAACACGAUAUUUGACAAUGGUUGCUCACAAGGGAAAUGAUAAACUGAUAGUAAAGCUUUGCGGGGUUUCGGGUUGACAUUUCGGGCAAUGAGUGUUACCGGGACACUGCGACGGUUGUCACGAGCUUGAGGGGAGUAUCGGUUCAUGACAGACCGAGUAUAGUGUGACUUAGGUUGAAUAUUACAUUUAAGCGAUUAAUCGGACAUUUUGCACUCCAUAUCAUGCAUUAGUAGUCUAAAUUAGUUUAAUUUUAAUUUAGUAUAAUAUGGUCAAUUUCUCGAUUUUGUACUGUGUCAAGGUGGUGAGUCCUCCGAUAAAGGCAAGGAAAUUGCAUCCGAGGACCAGUAGACAGAGUACUUCGAAAGUCUGCAUUCUAGACAUUGUGAGUAAACUUAUUGUCAUUUUAAUUGUCUAGGGUGGUUUUUAGAUGAUUUCAUGAAUUCUAUGGAAAAAGGGAUUUAAAAAGGAAAAUUUUCAUGUUUUAUGAAUAAAUGUGUUUUAAUGAAAUUAAUUUAUAAAUUGUUUUGAAAUUAAUAAUGACUUUGAAAAAUAGAGUACAUGGAGACUGUUAUUUGUUGCAAUUUGAUUGUUUUAAUUGAUUGGCUUAUGAUAAAUUGGCAUGAUUGGCUGGUUGGCAAUUGUAUUGAAAUACGAAUUGUUUGGUUGCCUUGAAAGGCUGCGGAUUACAAAAAUUGCCAUAUAAUGUUAUUGAAUUUUAUUGUAUGGUGGAUUAUAUAUAUAUUAAUUAAUCAUUGCAAUAGAGGGUUUCCAUGGACCAACCUUUUAGAGAGGCACGGUAAACCCCAUUAUAUUCUUACCUCGAACGGAGAGGUGCGUAGGGUAUUUCCUGGGGUAAAGUUUAGGGUUCACUUCACGCUAAACCACCACGUGAAGGAGAACUCAGCCAACGCCAAGGAACGGCUGUAAUUUCUAACAAAAAAUGUGUUUUAUGCAAAAUGUGAAUUUUUAACAGCCUUCGCGGUCUCAGUAGGAUGCCUCGGCCAAGGUGUCCCCAAGGAUGGAUUUACGGCAUAAGCCUAGUUUUUAUGAGAUUCAUAAGCCUUGUUACGUAUUUUGAAUGAAAUGUGUUCUAAUACUGUGACCUAGUUUACGAUGAUUUAUUUUAUUGUCUCCAUGUACUCAACUCUAGAUGUUUAUGAUGAUGUCUGUUUAGUCACUGGGAUUUUAUAAUCUCACCACCCUCUUUUCCUUUCAUUUCAGGCUCAAAAUAGACUGUAGAUAGCUGAUCUCAUCGAGGACUACCGUUGGAUUUGCAUUUUCCAAACUGUAGGUUCAUAGUCCUCUUUACUUUUGUUUAUUCGAGGGCCCACUUGUUAUUGUAAAUUAAAUUUCGUACUCUAGUUAUAUGUACUAUUGUAUAUCGAAAUUUAUUUAACUUUUAUGCUACAAAAA